rnacentral:rRNA from 1 species
GGACAGUGCCUGGUGGGUAGUUUGACUGGGGCGGUCUCCUCCCAAAGAGUAACGGAGGAGCACGAAGGUGGGCUAAUCACGGUUGGACAUCGUGAGGUUAGUGCAAUGGCAUAAGCCCGCUUAACUGCGAGAAUGACGGUUCGAGCAGGUGCGAAAGCAGGUCAUAGUGAUCCGGUGGUUCUGAAUGGAAGGGCCAUCGCUCAACGGAUAAAAGGUACUCCGGGGAUAACAGGCUGAUACCGCCCAAGAGUUCAUAUCGACGGCGGUGUUUGGCACCUCGAUGUCGGCUCAUCACAUCCUGGGGCUGAAGUCGGUCCCAAGGGUAUGGCUGUUCGCCAUUUAAAGUGGUACGCGAGCUGGGUUUAGAACGUCGUGAGACAGUUCGGUCCCUAUCUGCCGUGGGCGUUGGAAGAUUGAAGGGGGCUGCUCCUAGUACGAGAGGACCGGAGUGGACGAACCUCUGGUGUUCGGGUUGUGUCGCCAGACGCAUUGCCCGGUAGCUAAGUUCGGAAUCGAUAACCGCUGAAAGCAUCUAAGCGGGAAGCGAGCCCUGAGAUGAGUCUUCCCUGAUACUUUAAGUAUCCUGAAGGGUUGUUCGAGACUAGAACGUUGAUAGGCAGGGUGUGUAAGCGCUGUGAGGCGUUGAGCUAACCUGUACUAAUUGCCCGUGAGGCUUAACCAU